rnacentral:rRNA from 1 species
GAUGAACGCUGGCGGCGCGCCUAACACAUGCAAGUCGAACGAUUAAAGCACCUUCGGGUGUGUAUAAAGUGGCGAACGGCUGAGUAACACGUGGGCAACCUGCCCCUUUCAUUGGGAUAGCCACGGGAAACCGUGGAUAAUACCGAAUACUUCGAGACUUCCGCAUGGAAGACUCGAGAAAGCUCCGGCGGAGAGGGAUGGGCCCGCGGCCUGUUAGCUUGUUGGUGGGGUAACGGCCUACCAAGGCAAUGAUGGGUAGCUGGGUUGAGAGACCGACCAGCCAGAUUGGGACUGAGACACGGCCCAGACUCCUACGGGAGGCAGCAGUGGGGAAUCCUGCACAAUGGGCGAAAGCCUGAUGCAGCGACGCCGCGUGCGGGAUGAAGGCCUUCGGGUUGUAAACCGCUUUCAGCAGGGACGAGGCGAAAGUGACGGUACCUGCAGAAGAAGCCCCGGCUAACUACGUG